rnacentral:tRNA from 1 species
GCCUUCGUGGUGUAAUGGUCAGCACACUGAGCCGGUAUUUCAGAGGUCCGUGGUUCGAUUCGCGUCGAAGGAA